GCCGGGCGCAGUGGUGCGUGCCUGUAGUCUCAGCUACUCAGGAGGCUGAGGUGGGAGGAUCGCUUGAGCCCAGGAGUUCUGGGCUGUACUGCGCUAUGCUGAUCAGGUGUCCGCACUAAGUUCAGCAUCAAUAUGGUGACCUCCCGGGAGUGGGGGACCACCAGGUUGCCUAAGGAGGGGUGAACCAGCCCAGUUUGGAAAUGGAGCAGGUCAAAACUCCCGUGCUGAUCAGUAGUGGGAUUGUGCCUGUGAAUAGCCACUGCACUCCAGCCUGGGCAACAGAGCAAGAUUCCAUUUCA
rnacentral:SRP_RNA from 1 species